AACGAACGCUGGCGGCAUGCCUAACACAUGCAAGUCGAACGAGACCUCCGGGCCUAGUGGCGCACGGGUGCGUAACGCGUGGGAACCUGCCCUUAGGUUCGGAAUCCCUCACCGAAAGGUGUCCUAAAACCGCUUAAUGUCUUAGCACCAAGGAUCUUCGGCGUUUGGAUGGGCGCUGGUUGGUUUCGCCAGUUGGUAGGGUACAAGCAGCCCAUCGCCACGAUCCAUAGCUGGUCUGGGAGGAGGACCAGCUACACUGGGACUGAGACACGGCCCAGACUCGGACGGGACGCAGGAGUGGGGAAUAUUGGACAAUGGGCGAAAGCCUGAUCCAGCAAUGCCGGGUGAGUGAGGAAGGCCUUAGGGUUGUAAAGCUCUUUGACCCGGGAUGAGAAUGACAGUACCGGGAGAAUAAGCACCGGCUAACUCCGUG
rnacentral:rRNA from 1 species